rnacentral:rRNA from 1 species
CCUACGGGAGGCAGCAGUGGGGAAUAUUGGACAAUGGGGGAAACCCUGAUCCAGCAAUGCCGCGUGUGUGAAGAAGGCCUGCGGGUUGUAAAGCACUUUCAGUGGUGAAGAUGGGUGGACGGAUUAAUACUCCGAUCACCUGACGUUAACUACAGAAGAAGCACCGGCUAACUCCGUGCCAGCAGCCGCGGUAAUACGGAGGGUGCAAGCGUUAAUCGGAAUUACUGGGCGUAAAGCGCACGUAGGUGGUUGAGUCAGUCAGAUGUGAAAGCCCCGGGCUUAACCUGGGAAUUGCAUCUGAUACUGCUCGGCUAGAGUAUGUUAGAGGGAAGUGGAAUUUCAGGUGUAGCGGUGAAAUGCGUAGAUAUCUGAAGGAACACCAGUGGCGAAGGCGACUUCCUGGGACAAUACUGACACUGAGGUGCGAAAGCGUGGGGAGC